AUUGAACGCUGGCGGCAUGCCUUACACAUGCAAGUCGAACGGUAACGCGGGGCAACCUGGCGACGAGUGGCGAACGGGUGAGUAAUAUAUCGGAACGUGCCCAGUAGUGGGGGAUAGCCCGGCGAAAGCCGGAUUAAUACCGCAUACGACCUGAGGGUGAAAGCGGGGGAUCGCAAGACCUCGCGCUAUUGGAGCGGCCGAUAUCAGAUUAGCUAGUUGGUGGGGUAAAAGCCUACCAAGGCGACGAUCUGUAGCUGGUCUGAGAGGACGACCAGCCACACUGGGACUGAGACACGGCCCAGACUCCUACGGGAGGCAGCAGUGGGGAAUUUUGGACAAUGGGGGCAACCCUGAUCCAGCCAUGCCGCGUGCGGGAAGAAGGCCUUCGGGUUGUAAACCGCUUUCGGACGGGAAGAAAUCGCCAUCGUUAAUACCGGUGGUGGAUGACGGUACUGUAAGAAGAAGCACCGGCUAACUACGUGCCAGCCGCCGCCGUAACAC
rnacentral:rRNA from 1 species